rnacentral:rRNA from 1 species
CUCUGUGACUCCUACGGGAGGCAGCAGUGGGGAAUAUUGCACAAUGGGGGAAACCCUGAUGCAGCCAUGCCGCGUGUGUGAAGAAGGCCUUCGGGUUGUAAAGCACUUUCAGUAGGGAGGAAGGUAGUGUAGUUAACACCUGCACUAUUUGACGUUACCUACAGAAGAAGCACCGGCUAACUCCGUGCCAGCAGCCGCGGUAAUACGGAGGGUGCGAGCGUUAAUCGGAAUUACUGGGACGUAAAGCGCAUGCAGGCGGCCUGUUAAGUCAGAUGUGAAAGCCCCGGGGCUUAACCUCGGAAUUGCAUUUGAAACUGGCAGGCUAGAGUCUUGUAGAGGGGGUAGAAUUUCAGGUGUAGCGGUGAAAUGCGUAGAGAUCUGAAGGAAUACCAGUGGCGAAGGCGGCCCCCUGGACAAAGACUGACGCUCAGAUGCGAAAGCGUGGGGAGCAAACAGGAUUAGAUACCCUGUAG